AGAGCAAGCUGUACAGCUUAGAAGCCCUCCUGCAGACUUGAGUCUUGCAGUCUCGGUCGGCCUGACCCAUGCUGCUAAGAUGGAAAUCAGCAGCCUCCCUCACCAGGGACUCCUUUUGUCUGCUCGUGUCAGGAAAAGUCUCCUCCAUUUAGACCUAAAAGAACUCUUUCCUCUUUUAAGUUCCUGACCCUGGGAGAGCUUUGAGUCUAUCCAAACCCAGAAGGCUAGGAAAGAUGACCAUGAGUGAAUGACACACCCAGCCCAGAAACCAUUCCGAAAACCGUCCUAGGCUGUGGUGACGUGUUCUGAAGUUGAUCAUCCCGGACUUAAAUUUUGGCUCCCCAACUCUUUAGCCAUGUCAGUCUGGGUAAGUAACUUUAACCUCUCCAUGCCUCAUUUGCCUCGCCUGCUAAAUAUGGAAAGGAACAGGAAUGAUUUCAUAAGAUGGUUGUAUCGGGGUGCCUGGCUGUCUCAGUUUGGGGAGUGUGCCAUUCUGGAUCCCAGGGUAGCAAGUUCGAGUCCCCCAUCGGGUGUGGAGCUUGCUUAAAAACAGCAUCCAGCAAUCGUCCACAGUACUGUUGACACAGGAAGAGUACUCCUGCUGACCGGAUCUCCAGGGAGGAGGGAGGGGCUAACCAGGUGGUCGCCAUAAGAAGAGACUUCAGAGUGCUCGUGGCAGGGUCCAAGAAGUUGUGGACUGGACGGGACCACCCAGAGUUCGAAUCCGGGCUCUGCCCCACUUUUCUCAUCUCCCGAUGGGCGUUCAGGCCUGUGGCCGGGGGCUGUCGGGGGUCCCAUUGCCUCAGUGUGGACAUCGCCAGAACGUGCUCAGCACCCCGCGAUGCCUCAGGAAAGCUGUCCUUGCUGCACACACUACCGGGAACAGCAGGUGCUUCCAGCCCACACACCCAGAGACGCGGAGGUCCGGCGGUUUGGCGCCAAGCUCCCACUUCCUGUGGAGCCCCUUGGUUCAGCAGUGGCUCCUCUGCUGCUUCGGCCCAGGGCCAGACAAGGGUUCCCAGCCCUUCAGAUCGCCCGGGGACCUCAGGGCACGACAGCCCCGCGCCCUGGAGAGACCUCCUCCACCGCCCCUAGGCCACGCCCCUGCUGCGUGCGACCUGGGCCUCUCGCCCAGCUGAAGACGUGCAUUUCCUUCCUUAGCCUGUGAUUGGCUUAGAAAGACACACGUGAUGCCUCGCUGGCCAAUGAGGUGUGAGGACGAUUGCCCUGGGGGAUUCUGGGAAGGGCUUUCUUCCCGAGACAGAGGGAGAAAGAGAGUGCGAGAGGAGAGGAGAGAAGCAGAGAGCUCCGUGUCUGGUUACUCGGGUUAAAGCAUCUGUGCCAGGAAAUGUGCAGAUCUAACAUGUACAGUUCUAAGGAUUUUGAGAAACGCGCCCAUGUAAUCCACACACCAUCAAGAUAGACAGCGCUCCCUCUGUCUAAAAAGUCCCCUGUGCCUUGCAGGCCAGUCCUCACACAAGAGGGAAUCACCGCCUGAGUUUUAGCGCCAGUGAUGAGUUUUGCCUGACCUCGAGCAUCCUGUGAAUGGCUAUGCCUGACUUCUUUCACUCAGCGCAACAUGUGUGAAACUUACCCAUGUUCAUUUGCUCCCUUUUUGGUUUUUUUGAGUAGCGUUCAUGGCAUGGGUGAACCACAGUUUGCUUGUGCAUUCUCCUGACGAUGGACAGUCGGCUUACUUCUAGCUUUUGACUCUUAUAAGUAAGGUUGUACAUUCUCCUACUGGUGUAGAGGUGAUGUUUUCAUCGCUCUUGGCCGAUACUCAGGAGUGGAGGGCAAGGACUGUCAGAAUGGGUGGAAAGAUGCCUUUACGGGCCAUCUACAAAAUGUGCACCUAAAACGAUGCGGCUGGAGAGAUCAAAAGCGAAGGACAUGGAGAGACAUCUGACAAAUGUGAAUGAAGGAAGCAAGGGUUGCGGGCCUCACGCUGUCCAGGUGGAAUUCACCGCCGAGACCCAGGACAGCGAGGCUGUUGGCACUGAGAAGGAAGAGCUGGUCAUAGGUGGGCGGUGGUGGUCUGCUGGUGGGGAGCCUCCGGCUCCCCUCACACUUGGAGAGACGGACUAUGGGGGUGUCGUGGGGCAAGGCCGGGACAAUGGGACCCCCGAGCUGGUGGACAGAGUGUGGGGAGCUUCCUGGGUCAGCAGGUGGGGGCUGGCAGGGAGCCUCCCCGAGCACUCCCUCAGUUCUCCAUUCCCUUUUCCUUCGAGGACCACUCUUCCCAGGAGGAGGAGGGAACGGCGCCCAGAGGCUCCUAAAGGGGAGAGUGGCAGGGCUGGGGAGAGGCCGGGGAUUGGCCCCCGCAGUUCUGGGUCAGGACAAGUGGAGUGAUGACGGAAGGCCGCCCUGGCGGCGUCCGGCACCUCCCCCAAGCCCGUGCCUUGUAGCUCCAACGGUGUGCAGGGGAAGCUCGGGGAGCCGGUGGUAGAGCUGCUGGGCACCGGGUGCUCCUGGCCCAGGAACGGGGAUCACUGCCCCCCUUACAAUCACGGGGUAGCUGGCUGUGCACUUAUGUUUCAAGACUUCAUGCCAUGAUCUAAAAUAUUGCUUUCGUAAACUUGGAACGGACACAGGCAUGAUGGAGCCUGCAGUUUCCUUCAUAACCUAUUUUUUAAAUGUCAGGUUCCCUAAUGUGAAGGGGGCUCCUUAUGUUUUCCUCGUGGACGUUGGGAGGCGAGGGGUUAAGAAGUACAGCAGGGAACAAAGUGUGGCCUGAUUUCAGACCUGGGUUCUCAGCCAUCGGUUCCAGUUAGAGAGAUGAUUCAGGGAUUACAGACGCGGUCCUUUCUUAAACAGACACUUCAGCUCUCCCCCUUUCCCUCAGGAGAGGUCUCGGGAUGACCCCUCCCAGGCAGGAGGAAAAACCCACAGACCCCACCUGACCAGGGUGCAGACCUGGGGCGACCAGGAGGGAACUUGUGCCUGGAGGGUCGAGGGGAGGGUCUGGAGCUGGCACCUUCUUCACCGGGACCCCUGCUGUCCUCCCCAGCCAGCCCUCCGGCCUCCCCGUGAUGGGCACCAGGUGGCCUCGGGCCUCUUUGCGGCCCUCCCAGGUGGCUGUUACGGUUUUAUGAACCCAUUUUGCAGUUCAUGAGAGUGAGGUGAGGCGCAGGUGACCGGCUCGAGGUUACCAGGCUGCAGGUGGUGGGGAAGGAGCCAGGAUCUGUGGCCGCUGCAGGGACAUCCCUCAGGCUGGGGGCUCGCAGGGCGUGACGGGCGGGCGAACGUUGGGGUCACGCCGCAGCAGACAGGCCCCCGGGAUGUCGGCCGAGUGAAUGGAAACUUCCCGUGCUGGCAGCUGUCUGGUUCUCAUCACGUGCAUGCGUGAUGUCAGUGCAGGGGCUGGAAUUGGGUGUCUCUGAGACUCCCUUGCAGACUGUGCUGACACCCACCGAUGCCAUGUGGGGGUGCUGUUCUCUGCUGGAGUCGUGCCCUGGCCCCACUGCCCGGCUUUCCACGUGUGUCCGGUGAAGGGUGUCCCGUCCCUGCCCCUUCUUGUCAGGAUCCCCCCCCCCCCCGGCUAGGACCCCGUGCGGUUCCCGCCACCCGCUUCUACUGGCCCUGGUGCCUGUGGUGCCCGCACACCUGCCCUCCUUUACCCCUGGGGCCGAAGCGCGCCGGCCCCACCCCCUCCCCUCGUCCACUGGCAGGCCCUGCAGCAGGGCGCCGAGCACUUGGGGGCCCGGUGGCCGUGCGUUUCCUCCUUGGGGAUCCGAGCCAGGCUGUGCUUCCCCGUCCACUCUGACCUUCCUGAGGCCAGGGCCGUUCCUGUGAAGGGGACAGCCACGGCCCCCUGCCACCUCUCUCUGGACCCGGGCCGGGUCUCCCAGGCAGCUUUCCACGGGGCCCGCCGGUCCCGCUGCCUCCUCCUCGGGGACUCGCAGGCUGUUUCUGGUGCCAGAAGGCUGGCCUUUCUGGGGUUUCGUCUCGUCGGAUCCGGCCAGCUCUCCCAGCCCCCUGAGACCUAACGCGCUUCUGCUUUUGUGGCGCAGGGUGUCAGGGCCCCUCCCUGCUCCUCCCCAUCCGUGGACAGUCCUCCCCCAACCCCAGAGAGGGCUGUCCGUCCGGACCCCCGACCAUCUCCACGGUCUCCUCCUGUCGUGGGAAGUGCGGGUCUGCUGGGAUUUUUUUACUCCACAGAAAGAUGACCGCGGACAGAGGAGUGAAAACUUUUAUUUCAAAAAGCCUCUGAUAUGGACACAGUGAGAAAAAACACAGGAAGGAGUAAAAAUAAAACUAACAAAUAAACGGGAUCUUGAAUAAAAUGUGGAACCAAUCACUCUCUUGAGGAAAAA